rnacentral:tRNA from 1 species
GGAGAGAUGUCCGAGCGGUUGAAGGAGCAGCAUUGGAAAUGCUGUGUACGGGAAACUGUACCGAGGGUUCGAAUCCCUCUCUCUCUG